GUAGGAGCAAGCGUUGUUCGGAACUUAUUGGGCGUAAAGAGCGCGUAGGCGGCUUGGCAAGUCCGUUAGUGAAAUCCCAUAGCUUAACUGUGGAACUGCGACGGAAACUGGCCUCGCUAGAGUGCGGGAGAGGAGAGUGGAAUUCCCAGUGUAGAGGUGAAAUUCGUAGAUACUGGGAGGAACACCGGUGGCGAAGGCGGCUCUCUGGUACCGCAACUGACGCUGAGGCGCGAAAGCUAGGGGAGCAAACGGGGAUUAAGAUACCCCGGUAGUCCUAGCCGUAAACGAUGGGCACUAGGUGUAGGGGGCAUUGACCCCCUUCUGUGCCGUAGCUAACGCAAUUAAAGUGCCCCCGCCUGGGGAGUACGGUCGCAAGACUAA
rnacentral:rRNA from 1 species